rnacentral:rRNA from 1 species
AGACAGCAGCCGCCGCGGGAAAACGAAGGGGGCUAGCGUUGCUCGGAAUGACUGGGCGUAAAGGGCGCGUAGGCGGAUUGUUUUGUCGGGCGUGAAAUUCCAGGGCUCAACCUUGGGUGGUCGUUCGAGACGGACAGUCUUGAGUUUGGAAGAGGGUCGUGGAAUUCCCAGUGUAGAGGUGAAAUUCGUAGAUAUUGGGAAGAACACCGGUGGCGAAGGCGGCGACCUGGUCCUUGACUGACGCCGAGGCGCGAAAGCGUGGGGAGCAAACAGGAUUAGAUACCCGAGUAGUCCCUGUCUCUUAUAC